GUGAGAUUAACUCAGUUGAUCAGAGCAUGGUGCUGGUAAUACCAAGAUUGUGGGCUCAAUCCCCAUAUGGGACA
rfam:Ficedula albicollis isolate OC2 chromosome 6, whole genome shotgun sequence.